AACUCGAAUAAUUCAAGCCCUUUCCGUGUCCGAUUUUCUCCCACACGAGGGCUUGAACUCCUUGUGAUCAUUGGCCGCGUCGCCUGCUCUCUGUGAGAAGAGAGCCAAAUCAGCGGCGAUCAGGAAUAUGAGUCUGCGCAACUCUCUUGAAAUUGUCUUACCAAACACGUGUGUUCAAUUAACACAAAUCCGAUAAUAAUUAAUUAACAUCAAUUAACAUCAGUUUACAUCAUUUAUCAUCAAUUAACAUCCGGAACUCCUCCUUCUUUAGCUGCCAAUUUAAAUCAAAAUUCCCAUAUUGCAAAGCGGUGUGAAUUUUCCGGUUGACGGUCUUGAUCGAGGAAGACGUUCAGGCGUUAAUGUAGCCUUCGUAGAUCAGCGGAAUAUAACGACUGAAUUAUUCGGGUUAAAAAUAACCGAAACUGAAUAAUCAUAAGAAUGGAUGACAAAUGCGACUAUGCAUGGUACCUAUAGGACAUAUAGUCACAAUGAUCAAUUUAUUGUGGAAGGAGGAGAAGCGACACCAAAAAUGAGGUCUUCUCGUUUAAUAGUAUAGAUACUCAAUA
rnacentral:lncRNA from 1 species